AUAAAAUUUUUAAGAUUAUCCCUUUUUGUCAAUAGAACAAACUUCUGCCUUUUCAUGUUUGCUUUAAUAAAUUAUUGCUAACUUAAUAAGAUUUAGACAUUCAACUUUCAGAGAAAUUAUAUAAAUCUAAUAUUAUAUAAAAAUAGUUUUUUAUUCCUAUCUCUAAUUGAAACAAGCAGGUAUUUGGCACACAGGGUCAUUGUAAAAGCAAAAUCUCUCUCUUUCUAAUAUUAGCACUUUUCCUUGAGGAUAUAAAAUCUAGGAGUCUAACACAAAAGAAUCUAUGGGUGAAACAAGACUUUCUGGGUCCCCUUUGUUGGCAGGAUAGGCUCUUUUCUCAUACUUUUAAAUUGGAAGUAGCUUUGCGAUCUAGAUUAACUAUCAUGAUUGAGAUAAAGCCCUAACUUUUACUCGUAGGUACCAUGAAAAAGUAAGUAGACUGACUUCAUCAGUGAGGUUUUCUCCAGGGGAUUUGCUUGUGGGAGAGGCCUUGUUGCACUUUUUGAACAGAAAGGUACGAUUCACUGAAGUAUGAGUGUUCAUAAAGGCUAGCAAAGUGUAUUUUUUGAAGAAUAUUAUAUUUUCUAAUAUGUCAGGAGGUUUCUAGAUGUGAGAUAUAAAAAAACUAAUUUAACUUUUUCUCCCAAAAUUAUACUAUCAUUACAUUAGUGUAUUCUUAAAGAAUGGAGAUGGACAUUACUCAUCUACAUUACCAAAGGGGAAAAAAAUUUAAAAACCAGGUGGCAGAUAUAUGCCUUAUAAUUUAAACAAUAGUGAGUGAUGAACAAUCUUCCAAGUUCAUUGAAGCAGGAAUGGGAGAGAAUAUCUAUAAAAGUGAAUAAAAAAGGAUCUUGUACAAAUAUGCCUAACCCUCCAUUUUAUUAGCUUAUAAUGCAAAUUAUUAUUUGCUCUUGCUACUAAGAGCCAUUUUAAUGUAAUGGAUUCAUUUCAGACCCUCAAGAAAACCAAAGCCUAUGUCCUUUUACAAGUUUGUGAAGAACUUUCAAAUGGCCACAUCCAAUUUGAAGACAGAUAUAUUUUUUCUUGCUUAUUAAGUUAUAAAGUUGGAAUUUAUGCUGAUGAGCAUUUUCCAUCUUGACUAAUACUUUCUGCCAAAGAAGUUUUUCUUUUAAAAGAACAGAUAGCAAGUGAACAGAAGGAAAUUCCAAGUCUCUGUGAUUUGAUAGUGGUCACCAUUUCACAUUCUUAAGUUUAGAGCUGUAAACAACCAUAUUCUUUUUUUUCUUUGUGUAUCUGUGGGUUAGUCAGUAUCUUGUAUAGCGCCUUGCACACGAUAGUUGUUUGAUAAGUUUGCUGAACAAAUGAAUUCAUGAAACACUUUCACUAUUUACCGUGUAAUCUUUUCUGAUGUGAAAAAUAUAAAGGUAAAGGAGUCUUAACAUUUUUCUUUAUUUAUGUGAAUAAAAAAUUGUUAAAAUUCUCGAUGGGUCUGACUUAAAAUGACAGAAAAGCAGCCCCAUUCUAUGCUAGUUAGCAAGAGAAGAAUCUCUUAACAUUUCCCUGCCUAUUGAAAUGAAAACUGUUUGAGGUAAUACUGUAAUGUUUAAAACAAACAAAAACCCCCAAAGCUUAGAUGUAACACAAAAUGAACCUUAAAAAUUAAUGACUUGGAAAGUCCUUUGAGUUAAUCUCUUUUUACAUUCCAGAUUUAAACUUUCUAUGGCAUACUUAUCUUUCUUGAGACCUUUAAAAUUCUAAAGUGUAGCCAUCUUCUGAAGUGGUGAAGGGAACAGAAGGUUACAAAUCCUAUCAUUCUUUUGGGAGUGGGAGUGGGAAUUGGCCAGUAUGGUCUUAUCUACUAGAAAAGAAUAUAAGAACUAAUGUUGAUUGUUAAUGAUAAUGCCACAUAGGGCUGCUCUACGGAAUGGCCAAGAGGAAUCUAUUAUGCAAGAGCGAUGGCUACUAUUGCUGUGUUCCCAACUUCUAUUCCUUAGUGAGCACCUCUCAGAUUUGAUUAGGGACUAUAGCUUUGGGGCACAAUGGAACCAGUGGAGUGAAGGCAGGAGGAAUCAAAAGAUUGGAAGUAGCUUCAGAGUUGGGAUGCACUAUGCCUUGUGUUGGCCCAAACAACUCCUAGAAUCUCUCUUCAUUGAUUUGGGGCCUGGUUCAAGAUUACAUACCUGUUAAGAAAAGACUAUACUGGCAGAUUCUUUUCCAUUUUGAAUGUGAGACCUUUCAUCAAUGAGUAUGAGGAUAUUAUUUCAAGUGGAAAUGAGUGCUUAUAUAGCAAGGAUGUCCCUGGCUUCAGCUGAGUAGCCUCCCUAGGCGGUAUUUGCACCUCAGCAUCAUUUGCUCAGAAAAAUUAAGAAGACUGGAAGGAGUCAAACAGCAACAGAACCCUAAAUAAGUUAAAUCUCAAAUCUAAAUUCCAUUUACUUAAGAUCAAACAUCCUCUUUUAAAACACUCACUUGGCACGAAGAUACAGAUAUUGCUUCCUGUUUAUAUGCAGUUUAAAUAUGCAUUUACACUCUUAGUGGGUUACAGCUAAUCCUUCAACUUUUGUUUUUAACAAGAAAUGGAUUCCUAAAAGGAAAUGUUCUUUACCAGUGUCUGGAACAAUGAUGACCCAUUGCUCUCCCAAAAAUUCUCUGUUUUAUUCACAUGUAGAUAGGACUUGGUAUUUCAUCACCAAGUUCAUAACAAAGUCAACUCACUAUAGUGGAAGAGUAUUUAUAAAAUUAUACUUUUUUGAUAGAAACCAAAAACAGAGGUUGAUAUAAUAUCCUGUUGUCAGGGCAUAUCCAGCUUAGACAUUAUACAGAAGAACUAGGCAGUAUCGCCCUAAGACAUAAAUAUUUUAUGAUAUGGCCUAUUUACUGAUUUAUUUAUUCAGUCAGUAAAGAUUCACUUACAUCAGGCAAAGUUCUACGCAUGCAGAAAAAGAUAUGUCUCUAACCCCAAAGACACUGUGUUUGGAGAGACAAGCAUGAAAAUAGACAAUCACAGUUCAAUGCAAUGAGUGGAGUAAUCUGAAGUCUGUGCAACAUGCAGUGGGAUCCAGAGGGAAGAAGCAUCUAUAUUUGGCAGAAGGAGAAAAGGUAACACUUGAAUUCAAUCCCGAAGGAGAAACAAAGUUUUAUCAGGUAUUCCGGGUAGAGGAAAAAGGAUGUGCAAAGGCCCAGAGGCAGUGAAAAGCAUGUCCUGUUCAGGGAAUCAUACCUGGAUUGUAUUGCUGGAGGAGAAACUGUGAGGAGAGUGUUGGGAGUAAAACUGAAGGGGUGCUAUGGGCAAAACAUUUUGAAGACCCUUGAAUGCCAGGCUAAGAAGUGUAGGUUUAUCUUGCAGCAGAUGGAAAGGCACUGAAAAAAUUCAAACAUAAUCAGAUGUGCAUUUUAGAAAGACCAUGCAGUCAGCAGAUUAGAGACUGGAUUAAAAGGGGACAAAUUAGUGACAAUGGGACUAUUUGAUGGUUGUUUUUACCUGCCCGCUUGGUGUAAGAGUGCUAAAGAGAACUACCUUUUAUUAAAUAGGUACAAAUCCUUAAACCCUGGCAAAAAGGAAGGCAUAAAGAUAUUUUCCAUUUUUUAAGGAAAAUGACUGCUCCCACUGAGUAAAUAUUGCAAAUUAAUUUUGUAUGUCCUGUGCAUUGCUCAUUGUUUUACUUUACUGUAGGACUGACAUCCACCUGAGCUGACAUUUCUGUCACUGCAUUGAAAGGCUGUGUAGUGUUGUAGAAAGUGUGCUACCACAAGUCAAGACAUUUGCCUCUAAUUGAGCUUUAUAUCUUAGUCUUUGUAAGACCUUGGGGAAGUCAUUUUACCUCUUUGGGCUUCAUUUUCCUCAGUUGUAAAGCUGAGGGGCACAGUGUAAAUUAUUUGAAAUGCCACUUUAUUUUUAUCGUUACAUGAUUUGCAACUUUGCACUUGUUAAUCUCUCCUAACGUUUCUUUCUUACCUUGUCUUUAUGUUUUCUCACAAUUUUAAGAGGGACAGAAGUAUUUGGAGGAUAAUCCCAGGACAUUCUGUUUUUAUUGCACUAUACUUAAUGUACUUAGCCUUCUCCUGGAAGUAUUAGGAUGUUGGCAGCCGUUUUGAAACUAGGCGUUUCUAGUUGCAUGAGUCACAUUUUAUCUUCAUAUGCACAAAAAGAGGACUAUUUAAUCACUUUCAACAUCUAUUAGACCAAAUUAGUAACUAAUUUUUAAGUUAUAAAUUUUCCUUUCCAAAAUGAUUGUUUCUUGGGUCAGAAAAUGAUAUGUUCUUAGAAAGCUAGUGUAUGGAUAAAGUUGGCACUUAAAAUUAUAGGAAGUGCACUGCUUCUAGUAAUAUUCUAUUUUAAAUUCUGCAUUUCCUUGGAAACUUCGUGUUAUUUAAUGCUCUUUUUUUUUCACUUAAGAGGCUGUUUACAUUGGUAAUAUAUCUUCUAGAGCUCUGGGAGUUCAUAGAGUUUGUACCUACAAAACAGCACAGCACUGUUACUGUGCUUCAGAGACAUGCAGGGGUCCCAGGGCAAAUCAAAAUGUUUUUAAAUGUAUGACAUGUGUGAAGUUGAUGAAAAUUCAUGACUUCUCUCUGUCAGGGCUGCUUAAGCUUAAAUCAUCAGAGAAAGGUUGUUUCUUCAGGAUCAGGCACAGAGACUGACUGAAUGGCUCCAAUGAUCAGGAUUUGAAAACCUAAUAUCAGAAUCUGCUCUUUUGUGUAAGUUGGCCCUAAGCAGUCUCUUCUUUAGCAAUAGGACACUUACACAAUAUGGGGGCAUCUUCGUCACUUCUCCCUGACCUUGUAAAAUAUGACACAAACUUGUGGGCAGUCAAGAGUGAUAUUAAAAUUGUUGGCAAUUUCGGGGUGCCUGGUGACUAGUUGAUUGAGUGUCCUACUUUGGCUCAGGUCAUGAUGUCACAGUUUGUGGGUUCAAGCCCUGCAUCAGGCUCUGUGCUGACAGCUCAGAGCCUGGAGCCUGCUUUGAAUUCUGUGUCUCCCUCUGUCUCUGCACCUUUCCCACUCACACUCUGUCUCUUUUUCUCUCAAAAAUAAAUAAACAUUUAAAAAAAUUAUUGGCAAUCUCAUCAGUCUGAAGGCUAAACACAUUGAUUUUUAUAAUCCCAGAAAAUUUUACCUAGUUUUCUAAAUGUGUUGAAUUUUUAAUUUAUGCCCACAAAGCUAAAGCUGGUUCUGUGAACCUCAAUUAAAGUCAAUCACAACCACAAAGAACUCUUUGGAAGAGUUUCCUUUUUCUUUUCUUUUCUCUUAUUUUUUCUUUUCUUUUGUGGUUUUAUGGUUUUAUUAACACAAAUACAACAUGCACAUAAGUUGUUUGUCUGUUCAUUUUCUUCACUGCACAGCCUGGGAUUGGUGACUCUGAUGGCCAGCUCAGCUGCUCUUUCCACAAUGGCUUUGCAGUUCUUGGAGGAGACAUUGUGAGCCAUCUGUGCACAGUAAGAUAUUAUUGCACAUCAGCAGCUCUUCAAGCUCCUUGAUGUUGCGGACUAGGAACUUCUGGAAGCCACUGGGCAGCAUGUGCUUUGCUUUCUUGUUGCUCCCAUAACCAACGGUGGGCAUCAGGAUCUGGUCCGUGAAUCUUCUGAGAACUCCAUAUUGUCAAUGCCUCUAGGUUUCCACCAGUUGCACUUAAUUUUGACUUAUCUAUGGUCUGUUUCCAGAAGAACUUCUUGGUCCUCUUUUUAACCAUCUUGGGCUUCACAGGAGGUCUGAGGGCGGCCAUGAUCCUGAGUAGGAGACGGCUGCCACUUCCAUGGGCAGGUCGAAGAAGGGAGGAUUUUUAAAGUAGUGGCUUUUCUAAGUAAGAAAUGAUCACUAAAUCUUGUGUAAUCUGUACACCAUAGGAACCUAAGAAUUAAUAGGUUUAAUCAUAUUUUGUAAUCAAUAUUUGUAAUCAUAUUUGUAAUUAAUACAAACAGCAUAUAGAAUUUUUAAAAAAUUGUUUCUUGCUUCCUAGCUUCCCACAAUCCCAUUCUCUAGUAGUAGCCAUUAAUAAUAAUUUCUCGUAUUUUUUAAAAAGUUCAUCCAUUUAUUUUGAGAGAGAGAGAGGGAGAGGGGCAGAGAGAGAAAGAGAAUCUCAAGCAGGCUCUGCACCACCAAUGUUGGGCUUGAACCCACAAACUGUGAGACCAUGGCCUGAGCUGAAUUCAGGAGUCAGAAGCUUAACCGACUGAUCCACCCAGGUACCCCAAGUUUCUCAUAUAUUUUAAGAGGCUUUAAAUUUUUUUCCCUUUCUUAAUUAAGUAAUCUCUACACUCAAUGUGGGGCUUGAACUCACAACCCUGAGGUCAGGAAUCACAUGCUUUACCAACUGAACCAGCCAGGCACCCCAAUUAAUAGACUUUUACAUUCAUAUGCAAGCAUGUGUUAUUUUAAGUCACAAAUAAAUCAUAUAAUAUAUCUACUCUUCUGAAUUUGCUUUUAUUUGAUUAGCAGUGUUUUUGGCUAUCAUUCCAUUCCCUACAUAGGAGUCUAUUUCAUUCUUCUAGCAGCUGCACAGGAUACCAAACAAUAUGCUAUCAUGGAUAUAACCAUUCCCAUAUUGAUGGACACUGAAGUUAUUUUUUGUCUUUCUGUUUUUUCAAAUAAUACUUUAGCAAACAUGUGCACAUUUUUGUGUUUUUCUAAGUGUAUUCAUAGAAUUAAUUGCCUGAAGUGAAAUUGCUAUAUAAAAACACACGUUCACAAGUUUUGAAUGCUGUUGCCACCUUAUUGGUACAACCAAAACAUUGCACCAGUUUACUUUUCACUGAAAGUUUUUGAGAGGCAGGGAUUUUGGAAACAGGUUUAGCUGAGUUCUGUGUGUUACAUAUCUGCCUGCCAUUCCAUCUCUUCAAACCUGAUUAAACACAGUUGAGGGGCAGCAGGGAUGGUUAGCGAUGACCUAGUGCAGAGAGAGUGCCCCUAUGACUUAGGAGCUGGGAGAGCUGUGAUGGCUGGGGAGGGACAGCACCGGGGCAGGGAGGGAAAGAGCUGGGAAGUAUGGCUGCCCGUCAGUUUAGGAAAAGUCUGAGUUUUCACCAAGUCUCUUCGCUAGCAGCUUUCCAGACAAGUGAGGGGGCUGCAGAGCAGAAUUAAGAGCCAUUCACAUAGACUGUCAUAAAAAUGGAAAAGAAGGUGAAUUAGAACCAUGUUACACAGACACACUCUCACACACACACACACACACUUCUCUGUUCGGAUUCCAGUCCAGGUGUGCAUUCACCUUUACACCCUGUCUUGGUCCAGGUUGCUAGGGAAGGACUGUUCUCUGACAUUCCUGGCUGAUCUUCACCAGGCAGGAGUCCUCCAGGCUCCCUCUCUAUUUUACCAUUAAGCUUCUCUGCAUGUGGAUAACCCAGAAAACACACAUGACAUUGUCCUAGUUCCUGGAUCUGAAGAGACAUCCUCAUCCUUGAAACUUCUACUCCUUAUUCAAUAUUUUCAUUUGGCCUGGCAUUUUAUAAGUCUCAUUUUCAUCCCUAAAAUAGAAACUUAGAAGUGCCUCUUCAUCUAUAUCUCAGCCUUUUAAAUUGAGGGGUUACUUUAAUGUUCUCAAGGUUAUAGUUAUACUAGGAAGUUUAUUUUGUAUUCAACAUUAGCAUGCUAGGUAGUAUGGUAGGGGCUGUGGAUGCAAAGAUGAAUGAGACACGGUUCUGCCUUCUAGAAGCUCAUAAAAUAAUGAGGAGAUAGCACAAACUAAAACACAUACCACUCUUUGAUAAAUGUUAAAACAGAGGUAUUUUUUUAAAUUUUUAAAUGUUUAUUCAUUUUUGAGAGAGAGACAGACAGAGUGUGACUGGGGGAAGGGCAGAGAGAGAGGGAGACACAGAAUCCGAAGCAGGCUCCAGGGUCCGAGCUGUCAGCACAGAGCCUGAUGCGGGGCUUGAACUCACAAACCAUGAAAUCAUGACCUGAGCUGAAGUCAGAUGCUCAACCAAGCCAUGCAGGUGCCCCAAAACAGAGGUAUUUAAUCAAAAUUAUAUGAAGUAUCUGUAUCCUGCAGAUAUACUUGUACACGUACAAAAGGACACACAAGCCAGAGUUGUUCGCUGCAGAUUGUUUGUGAUACUAAGAGUUAAAAAAACAUCCUGAGCAUCUAUCAACAAGGGCACUAUAUGGUUUAAUAAGUGCUGUCUAUGUACUGAUAUAGAGUAGUCUUCUGGAGCUAUAUAUAUGCAUGUGUAUAUAUGUGUGUGUGUGUGUGUGUGUGUGUGUGUAUACAUAUAUACAUUUAAUAUAUAUACAUAUAUAUUAAAGUUUAUUUCUUUAUUUAUUUUGGGAGAAAAAAAAGAGAGCAGCAUAAGCAGGGGAUGGGCAGAGACAGAGGAGAGAGAGAAUCUCAAGCAGGCUCCAUGCAGUGAGUGCACAGCCCAGUUCAGGGCUCAAUUUUGUGAACCGUGAGAUCAUGAUCUAAGCCAAAGUUGGACGCUUAACCUACUGAGCCACCCAGGUGCCCCUGGGAUAUAUUUUUAUAUGAAAAAAGCAAGCUGCAGAACAUGUAUGUUGCCUCCCAUAUAAGAAAUGUAGAAAAAUAAGAAUAUGUAUUAAUGUUUGCUUGUAUAUGCAUAAAAAGACCCCUUAAGUGGAAGACCCCUUAAGAAACCAAUGCGGAGUACCUGGGUGGCUCAGUUGGUUAAGAGUCCUACCCUUGAUAUCGGCUCAGGGUUGUGAAACCGAGCCCUGCAUCAAGCUCAGUGCUGAGCAUGGAGGUUGCUUGAGAUUCUCUCACUCCUUCUCUCUCUGCCUCUCCCCUGCUCGCGCUCUCUCUCUCUCAAAAUAAAUAAAUAAACUUAAAAAAAAAUGAAAGCAAUGCAAGUGCUAAUCUAUAGGGUGGGAGUGGGCAUCAGGGAUUACUGAGUGGAUGGGAAAAGGAGGCGAAACAGAUUCUCAGUGUAUACCUUUUUAUAUCAUUUUAAGUUUUGAACCAUGUGAAUGUAUUAUUUAAAAUUAUAUUAAAUAAAUUUAAGUUAUAAAAUAAAAUUCCCCCUCUCAGAGCCUUGAAUUCUCUGAGGUCUUUGCAAAUGCUUAGCUAUGUUUACUUGGGAUAAAGAACAUUACAGCGGAUUGGACAGGGAGGCUCUGAACACGAGAAAGAAGCCUUUUUAGAGACCACUGGAUUUUUCUUACUACAUUCUUACACCCACUCUUCCAUGAAAAUGAUUUGGAGCAGAAUGAGGAAGAAGAAUACCUUUCUCUACAAAGUUUUCAGAGAUGGGAUAUCUUACAAACAGUAUAUCUGUCUGACACAGGAACAGUUUUAGAAGUAGAUUUCAUUCUUUAAAUUUCCUGCAGAUAAGGCUGUUUAGAGUGGCCCCCUCUGGUUUAUCAUGAUAGUUUUGUAGGAAAGACAUGAUUUGCCCGUACCUUCAGUUGAUCUGCUUAAGUCACAAAAUGGAACAAUGUGAAAAUUUUCUUCUUUAAGCUUUAAAUAAUGGCCUCAUGCUGAGUUACAAAUAAGAGAGAUUGGCUGCCUUGCCACAGAAAUGCUCCUUUUCUUUGACAAGGAUGUGGCUCUGUAAAUUUUUCAGAACACCACAUUCAGGUGAGUUGGAGAAAGAUAGUGGGAUAGAAUUAGUUUUGAGAAUUCUCUGGUCGUUUCCAUGAACUGAGAUUAUGCAGUUAUGAAAUAAGGAGGUAGAGAAUAAAUAACAAGAAAAACAAUGUUGCUGAUGAUUUCAUGAGUAUAAGAGACAGUGUUAGAAGUUUGUUGAAGAGUGAUAGAAUCAUCACACAAGCCACACUGGGCCAGAAAAGGCCACGGGCGUUGAGGAGGGAUUUUACUCCCCAAUAUAUCUCAGCACCGAUUCUCCUCGCCACUAUUACCGCUACUAUUACUGUCCCUGCCUUUUCAGUUCAUUUUAGCCAUUUUUGCCCAAGUGGUAAGCUCUGGUUACCUGGGAAGCUAGUGAUAAGUGUGUGGAAACAUGGAGGUGGGUGCCCAUGAAGGCCAGUGACUCACCACCUUCCAUUCACCAGUUUCUGUCAUUGCCUCCUCCCUCCCCCCUUCCCCCCCCAAUAUCAUUUGCUCUUUCAGCUGGCUUCAAAUCACUCCUGUGGAAAGGGUCUGAAAAAUUUAGAUUUCGAUUUAGAACACAUGAGCAUGUUAAGGAAGCUAUUGCCAGCAAUCAGAGCCACUUGUGACAUCACAUCAAUAAAAGGCAUUCAGGUGAGAGACAAUAAUGACUAUAGGUAUUUAGCCCAAAUGUAUGUGAGUUUUAACUCUUUAAAUGCAUUUCCUUUAGCAGCUACUUGAAAUACUUUAUCAGUGAAAGUCUUGACUCAGCAAACAUACGUGUAAGAACGUGGGUAAGUAGACUUAUACACCUUAACAAAACGAUGGCUUUAUUUGUAUUCCCUUUGUAAUUAAAAUUUUAAAAAAAUAUUUAUUUAUUUUUGAGGUGGGCCACAGAGAGAGACGGAGACACAGAACCCAAAGCAGGCUCCAGACUCUGAGCUGUCAGCACAGAGCCCGACAUGGUGCUCAAACCCACAAACUGAGAGAUCAUAACCUGAGCCAAAGUAGGAUGCCCAACUGACUGAGCCAUCCAGGUGCCCCACUCCCUUUGUAAUUUUAACUAAAUAUUGCAGUAAGUGGUUCUGGUUUUAAAUACUAAGUAUAUGGGCAUUUAUUACAUACAAUAUGAAAAUACUUCAGGGGUCUUAUGAUUAAUGCCAUAGUAUUUAGGCACAGUUUAUAGAGACUUUCAAAGACAAAAGGCCCAAGCAGAUGAUGAAACACAUGAAAAAGAUAUAUGUGUACAACCUGGGACUCAAUCCAGACUUGCUCAUAUCAUCCCAGGUCCAGCUCCUGGCUUAUCAGGAAUGUUCCCAAGCAAAUAUUCUCUGCACCUGGCCCAAGGUUGCCCUGUGGAUUAAUCUCUAUGGUAGGGUUGACAGAGAAAAUACAGCAUGCCCAGCUAAUUUUAAUUUCAGAUAAGUAAAUAAUAACUUACAGCCUAAAUAUGUGUCAAAUAUUGCAUACAACAUACAUAAGGCAGACAUAUGCCCUAACUCCUAUGUGCUUACCCUCUGAGGCAAGAUACCUCGCAGGUUUGAAACCCUCAAGUCCAGAAUUUCAAUCUAGCCUAAUAGUUUGAUUCUCCUUUUGGAUACUGCCUCACCCUCUAUUGUUUAGGCUUGCUUUCCCUAAAUGGACCAUUUUAUUCAUAGUGCAUGUUUUCAAAUAUUUUAAACACUAGUAACUGGAGAGAGAUAUUAGCUACUUUGGAACAAUUAUAAUAGAGUUUUAGAGAAAAUUAUAAAACUGACUUUAUUCCCCACCUCCAGCCCCCACCCCACCAAUUUUGAUUUUUCAAAGGCAUGUCUUUAGGAUUUGAUGCUAGAUUUAAAAGGGUGGACAGAUGUGGAAUAAGAUAGAAGGGCUCCUUUCAGACUAAGUUUGUACCCCUGGCUUAUUCUCUUGGAGUUGUGAUAAAGAUAGCUACUCAAAGAUUUCAUUUGCAAUUUUUGGACUCAAGUCAAACGCCACCACUACUAAAAUCCAGCAACGAAGGAAAUGGAAUAGCAGCGUGGUAGAAUAAAUAAAAAAUGUAGAGCUGGCAGAUUUGGGAUUGAAGCCUGGCUCUGGACCCGAACUAGCUGAAAGAUCCCAGGAAAGUCCUUCAGUUUCCAGAAACCUCAGUUUACCCCCCAAUAACAUGGGGAUCAUAGGGCAACUAUUAAGAGAGAUACUGUGGAUAGGAAUGAUUUGGAAACUUUAAGCCCGGUCUAGAUGUUUGCAGUGGUGAUGAUGAUGAUGAUGAUGAUAAAAAUGGUGGCCAAAAGAUGUAAAGAGGCAUUAGAGAAAGUCAGUUAUUAAAGAGAUACUUUAAUUCAGAUUCUGAAAUGCUUACCUCCUACUCAGUUCACAAUAAUUAUAUACAUAAGAGUAUUGUUCUUAUACAGGUUGGAAAAAGGAAAAACACCCAAUAACACCAAAGUCAGUCCAAUUCCAUGUACUUUUGGAAGAAAGCUUACUAAAAGAUUUUGAGUCAAAAAAUGAGAUGUUUAGGGUAGAAAUAUUUUAUUUACGAUCACAUCAAAAAAUGGAAAACAGAAAGGCACACUGAGAAACACUUGUUUAAAGCCUUUUACUUUUAUUUUGGGUCAACACUCAUUCAACAACCAGCCUAUUUAUUUUGUAAGAGCCUCAGAAAUAUUUAUUAUUAUUAUUAUUAUUAAUUAUUAUUAUUAUUAUUAUUAUCUAACAUAACAGCUGGGAGUGUUCAAUACACAGAGAAGGCUUUCAUGAGGUACCAGGUAUAAGCAUUUGCCCAGGGGUAAAGCAGAGGGAGCAAAAGAAGAGAUUUGACCAGAGGUCCUCUCCUUCCCUUUAGCACUUCCACUCCUCACUCAAAGAGAAUGCUGAAGGCUACAGGAGGACUAAGCCAUGAGGGCACUGGAUGUCACUCUGACUGAAGAGUAUUCAUCCUUGUUUAGCUUGAUCUCACUUUUAUUUAUUUAUUUUUUAAAAUUUAUUUGUUUAUUUACUUACUUAUUAAGUUUAUUAAGUGUAUUAAAUUUAUCUGCACCUGUGUGCAAGCGGAGGAGGGGCAGAGAGAAUCCCAAGCAGGCUCUGUGCUGUCAGUACAGAGCUGGAUGUGGGGCUCGAAUCCACAGACUGUGAGAUCAUGACCUGUGUUGAAAUCAAAAGUUGGCCGCUCAGUGGACUGAGCACCCAGACACCCCUAAUUUUACUUCACUUUUAACCGCACAACCAAUACAUGUGUGUUACAGAAAAUUAGAGAGUGUAGAUAAGCAGAAAGGUGAAUAAUGUAACAGUCACCCCUAACUCUUCCCUACAGAAAUUUAGAAUACUCAUUUGGGUUGCCCUACGUCCCCACAUGUGCAAUUAAACCAUGAGGGAUCAGAAUUUAUCCUACUUCGUCUGAACCCAGCAGAGAAGCCCUUUCUGGUGUUCUGCUCUGAGGGAUUUCUUAACAAGUACAUUUCAACCAAGGCUUAAAGUGGUAUAGUAAGCAUAAGCCCACUAAUGUUAUUCUGUAAUGACAGGACAGGAUAGAAAUUAAGCCACUAGAUUUAAAAAUUACACUUCUCAUACUUUCUUUAUCUCCCUUUAUAGAACUCCCUAAAUUUCUGAACAAAAGAGAACACUUUCCUGCAGAGAUUCAGAAUAUAAAUGAGUGCUAAGAGUCUUUGACAUCAAGAGUUCACCAAAUCCUGAGCUCCAUUUCCUACAGAGUCUCAAAGUGUUUUUCUGUCACUGACUUCCACACUUGGUCUUGAGUCUAAGUGAGAUGGAAUCCCAGCUCUAGGCUAAAAAUGUCCCCACCUCUAGAAUUCAGAAUCAUCUAACCUUGCCUGAGACAAAGAGGGGCGGAGAGUCAAGUGGAAAAAGCACAGCUCACUUACAAGCCGUAGUGUUGGAGCAGAGUAGUGACUCAAGUACCUCAGGGUCAGUCACAUUGGCCCCAGGCCCAGAUUUCCAUGGACUCAUUUCUGGGUCCUGGAAGAGAGAGAGGACUGUGAAUAGAAACUAGAAGACCCAUUUUUACCCAAACCUCUUGAGACUUCGAAGAGCUAGCCAAUAUUACUUUGGUAACAUCUGAUGCAGAGAGAAAAUGGAAAGGUAUCCUCCAUUGUGCCACAGACCCCUGAGCAGCAUUGGCCCAUCUGGUGCUCUAGGGGUUUGAGGUGGCACCCAGCAUAAGUGCAGUGGUGGUGCCCAGAAGAGGGGUGGAUGCCCUGGUGAUAAUGCAGAGGGCAGUGGUUCCCAGAGAGGCACAGGCAUGGGGAAGCCCUGAAAAGCAGUGGGACCUAGCAGGGAGACAGCAGCAUUAAGUUUAGAGUAGACAUGGUUGUACCUGCAAAAUGCAGUGGUACCUAACAGCAUAAAAGCAUAAAAAUGGCAUCUUCCACAGUAACUAUAACCAAGCAUAAGACACAAUCCAAGGUUGUGUGCGUGCGUGAGCGCGCGCGUGCACGCGUGUGUGUAAGAGGGCAAACUCUAGAGCGGGCUCCAUUUCAGCUAUCAUACCUAUUUCCUCUUCCCUAAAACCAGUCCCAUAGGUUGUUACUAAAAUAAUAAAAUGAUGGUCUUUCCUGGCAUUUGACUAAGCUACUCAUAGACUCAAAGUCUUCCUCAAAGCCUAUAGAACUUGGAUUGGAUUCAGGCAUUGCCACUUCCCACUCCAGAAUUUCUGGGCUAAUAGUACUAUUUACCUUGUAUGGUUGUUAGGAGGAUUACAGUGUAGUACUUGAAAAAGGCUUAGAACAGCACUGGGUACAUGUUAACCCUCCUGAGUAUGAAGUCUAGUAUGAAUGCUGUCUAAAUUUGCCUCCCAAACAGGCCCCAUUUGCGACCUAGUGCAUGGUGAGAGAGACUUACGCUUAACUUGUGACUCAUAAUUUACUAGCUGUAAGUCCUUAGACAAAUUAAUUGACUUCUUGGUAAUGUGAAGUAAUCCCACAAAUACGAAGCACAUUGUAUGCCAGACAUUGUACCAGGUGCUGUAGACCCACAGACAGACAGGCACCUUGAACACCACCUUGCUGCAAAGCACUCAAUGCCUGGGGGUGGGAGGCAGGCAACUAAAUACACAAAAAUAAUAGAGCUGUAAGGAUAGCACACUUAUCCGGCUUGAGUUAGAUCAAUAGUUAAUAGAUUAAUCAAACAAGUCAAUAAAGUGGAGAAUCAUUAAAAAAAUGUUAUCUACAUGCUUUAAUUGUUCUAUUUCAACAUAAACAGUUUAGAGGUUGCCAGGGAACCGGGAAGGGGAGAAUGAGGAAUGAUUACUUAAGGAGUGUUUUUCUGGGGUGAUGAGAAAGUUUUGAAACUAGAGAGACUUGAUGGUUGCACAACAUUGUGAAUGCACUAAAUGCCACUGAAUUGUACACUUCAAGAUGGUUAAUUGCAUGUUAUGUGAAUAUCACCUCAAUAAAAUAUUAUAUAAAUGUACAUUAUUUUACCAAUCUUUCAAUGUAUGGCUAAGGACUCUUCUUGAGGUACGUGCCUAGAACUGAAGCCCCAGGUCAUCUUUCUGGCAUAAACCACACCCAGAAAAUAUACAUUAUAUAUUAUUUCCAGUUUUAAUUUCUUUAAACUGGGCAUCAUCUUCAUCUUAAAAAUAUUAACCACCUAAUUGCUUAUAGUGUUACACACUAUUUGUGGAGAAUUACAUAGAUUUGAUCACUGCAUUUUAAAAGUUUACAGUCCAAGAAAGACUGAUGCAGGCAUGCAUGCUUAAGAUUCACCAGACGUACUGUACCAGUACAUUUCCGAGAGCAGCCUGCUUGGUUCUGUGACUUCCUCCCCGCUUUCCCUCUUGACCCUUAUUACCUUCCUGGCCCCAUUACCAUAUUACCUUCCUGGCCCCCAGCACUGCCUCAGGUCCUCGACCACCCCCCAUUGAAUACCCUGCCCUUGAUGAGUGGGGGUGGUGGGUGGCACUGGUUUGAAGAGCUCACCAGAUCUCCCAGAGCCAGCCAGCUUGGAGUUGUGUUUGCAAACACAGGCCCUGACUGUGGCUGUCAGACCUCCCAGACACUAUCUGCUGCCCAUCUGUCACCACCAUCUUCAGGUGCCGUGUUCAUCUGGCUGGGCUGCCUACUACCACCCUCUACUGCAGCUGUCCCCAGUACCUGCCUCCCUGACACCACAAGAAAGCACAUCUAGACUCCAGGAGCAAAUGAUCCUUACCUGCCUCAUUCCCACUGAAGAUACAUUACUCACAACAGCAUAUAUUUAGUGAGUGCUCACUGUCAUUCAUUUAAUUGUUGGCUCUUACAUUCCUGGCCAUGACAAGGGAUAUGCUAUAACCUACUCCUGAAAAGAUUCGAUGACACGUGUGGACAAAUGUAUUAGCACAUUAUCACUGGCAUCAAAACUAAUGCCCCCUGUGGACCCAGAACAGGCCUACAGGAGAGGAAAAAGCAGAAAACCUACCUGCCUCACUGCUUCUGUGCCAAGUCCAGGAAUGGUGUUUGCCUUGCUACAUCUGUAAGCCAGCAACAAAGGAGGAGGCCAUUAGAGGUCAAGGUCUUGUCUUAAGAAUAUUCAUUAAAAUAAAGGCACUGACUUCAUUCUUAGGCAGAUUCUCAUCCUGUGGAGUAUCUAGUCCUUUUGACUAAUAUUUUUGUUCUUCUUGAGUCUGAUCUGGAUCUGUUCUAAUGUGUUUCAGCGAUGAGGGUAGUGGAAGUAAAUUAAAAAGAAAUUUAAAUAGUUUCCCAUCCCCUAAAUUGGUUUCAUACUAAUAUGACCCUAAAUAUGAAAGUUUUUGAUGAUCUGGCUACUGCAGUCAUCCAUAUGAACUCUCUUACUGCUGACUGAGAGUUAAUUAUCAUCAAAUACCCAUCCACUGAGGGUCAGUUACAAGUUGGGACAACUGUGGUGAAUAAUACAAAUGUGGGGUGCCUGGGUGGCUCAGUCGGUUGGGCGGCCAACUUUGGCUCAGGUCAUGAUCUCACUGUCUGUGAGUUUGAGCCCCGUGUCGGGCUCUGUGCUGACAGCUCAGAGCCUGGAAGCUGCUUCUGAUUCUGUGUCUCCCUCUCUCUCUACCCCUUCCCUGCUUUCUCUCUCUCUCUCUCUCUCUCUCAAAAAUAAUAAAAAACAUUAAAAAAUUAAUAAUAUAAAUGCAAUUUAUUUUACUGUUUACUCUCUCAUGUCAGAGUGAUCAGCUAGUAAAACAAAAAUUAUAGAUAAGUACUUUAAAAAAAUGUUUCUGUCCCAUCCAUAUGAAAUUUAAACUUUUUUCAAAUGUAAUUUACUAAUAAUAUACUCUGUGCCUGAAUCACAUAAUUACAUCCUCUGCCCACUUACCCAUAAAUAUGUUUGAAUUGGUAAUGUUCAUAAAUAUGUUUGCAUAAAUUUUCAUAUGGUUGAAGAUGAUAACAGUUUCCCAUUUGUGGUGAAUAUUCUUUUGUUUUUAUUGUUACUUUGUUGUUUAGAAGUUUAAAAUUUUUUGUAACUACAUUUGACCAUUUUAUUUCACUUCUCAUUUCUUUUCUUGCUUCAAUUAUAAGAAGGUUAUCACCUUAAAGUUAAUUAAGGGACUAAAACCCCUAAUUUUCCCUGAGGAUUCCAUUCCCCACCAUCCUUGAGAUCUUACACUGACAUUCUCUGGGCCUGGGAGUCCACGUCCCAUAACUCUUCAAUAUAUUAUUUUCACAAAGGUUGAACACUUGUGUUAUGACUCUAUUUUUUAAAUUUAAUUAAAAAUUUUAAAUUGAAUUUUAUUUUUUUUUUUAAUUCUCAAGUUAGUUAACAUACAGUGUAGUCUUGGCUUCAGGAGUAGAAGCCAGUGAUUCAGCUCUUAUAUAUGACACCCAGUGCUCGUCCCGAAAAGUGCCCUCCUUAAUGCCUGUCACCCAUUUAACCCAUCUCCUACCCCCAAUCAACUCUCAGUUUGUUCUUUGUAUUUAAGAGUUCUUUAUGGUUUGCCUUCCUCUCUGUUUUUAUUUUAUUUUUCCUAUGACUUUAAUAGAGCAGUUACCUACAGAGUCCAUUGUUCACCUGUUUAUCCUGGAUUUAGAACUAUUUCUUAUGUUUGCUGAUGUCUGAGAGGCUAUGGCUUACUCUAUUUAUACCCAGGUUGGUAUACACAUUCACUCGUUUCUUCAUUCAUUUACGCAUUUAUUUAUUUAUUCACUUUGUUAUUUGUGGCAUACAGAUUCAUAUGUAGCCCUCAGUGAGCCCUGCUUUCUAGUGUUUACCCAUGUGUGUGGGCAGGACAUAUGACUUGCUUCUAACCAACAGAAUAUAGUAAAGGUGACGAAAUGUCCCCUCUGUGAUUGAUUACAUAAUAAAGACUCUGUCUUGUUGGAAGACUCAAUCUAGAGAGUGUCCUUGCUGGCUUGAUGAGAUAAGCGGCCAUGUUGGGGAAAACCCCAUGGUGAGAAACUGUGGACAGUUUCCAGACAACAGCCAGGAAGAAGCUGGGAUCCUUGAUCUUAGAGCUGCCAGGAAAUGAAUUCUGCCAAGAAUGUGAGUGAACUUGGAAGGUAUUUCUUCCCCAGUUGAGCCUCCCGAUGGGAACACAGUCCAGAUGAUACCUUGCUUGCAGUCUUGUGAGACUGUAAGUAGAGGGACCAUCUAAGCCAUGCCUUCACCUGUAGAAACUGUGAAAUGAUAAAUGGCUAUUGUUUUUAGCUACUAAGUAUGUGUUAAUUUGUUGUGCAGCUAUAGAAAAUGAAUACACUGUGCUGUGCUAACUACCAUAUAGGCCUUCUCUCAGUACCUGAAGUAGCCUCAUGAGCCUGACACUAAUAUUAUUCCCAUUUUACAGAUGAAGAAACUGAGCCUCAGGAACUGAACUGCAGAAUGUCCUGCUCUCAACCACUGAACUAUCAUGCUAUGUUUCAUUUUUAAUGUAUUUCAUUAUUUCACAAAUUCAAGUUUAUCACGGUUUAAAACUUAUCUCCUGAACAUGCCAACUGUAUUUACAAAAAGCCCUACUAGGCACACCUAGUACACAAAAUAAAUGUUUUUAUAAAUGCAACAUUACAAGGAACUUUUCUUUUGUGCUACAUUUUUACCAUGUAUCUCACAGAAAUAAUAUUAGAUUCAUGAAUAGAAAAGUUUCUAUUUUCUGUUAAAGUAGUGAUAGACUGUAUCACUAAAAUAGUGAUAGACUGUACACUAUUUAGAAGGGAGAAUAAUUAUGGCUGAUAGAAGCCCCAGAUUCAUGGGAAUUGAUUUGGAGUUAUAACAGUCAAGUAAACAUCCAUUAGAAUGUGCUGGAUCUUACUGCAGGACAAAAACGUUUCAUCUUGAGUCCUAACUUUCCCAUUUAUGUUCAGGUAUAGGGAAACAUUAGGAAGUGGGGAGAUUGAGAAAUACUUAAAAGAAAAACAACAACAACUAAAGUCCUAUUUGGAUCAGUGCUCUGAGAAUCUGAGAUAGGAUUAUGACCCCACUACUGUGUCUUCUAAUGACAGCUCUUUCUAUUCUGCAUUUAUCAGAUGUUAAUUAUUCAUACUGCAUGAUUGAUGAUUUUGGAGUCAGAGAUUCACCUGCAAUAUUUGGAAUACUGGUGGAGGCCUACAUCAACACAGAAUUUAUAAAGCAGCUGGUGCUAGUCAAAGCUAAUGAUGGAAUUUCAGUUUAAUAAAAAGACCCCCAACUGAGCACACCAUCUUGAAAAAAGUAUACUUAUCAAACGGCUUUCAAUCAGUUCAAGAGAGACACCUUAAUUGGGAAGAGGAAAAUUUGCAGAGCAGUUUGUCAUUGUGCCAAUUCUAGAUCAAUAACUGCAUGUCUGCUCUUUGGGAGACAUAGCUUUUGCUUUAUAUUGAGUAACCACAUUGACUUCCUCUCCACUUGGGUACACUCUGUUUCAUUUGAUAAUGUUAAAGGAUAUCUUCUUUUAAUUCACCUCUGUGUCUUCAUAAUAAACAUGAGCAAAUGUAGACUUGUAA